rnacentral:rRNA from 1 species
GACGAACCGUGCGAACGUUGUUCGGAAUCACUGGGCUUAAAGGGCGCGUAGGCGGUUUGCCAAGUCAGGGGUGAAAUCCUGCAGCUCAACUGUAGAAGUGCCUUUGAUACUGGCGAACUCGAGGGAGGUAGGGGUCGCUGGAACUUCUGGUGGAGCGGUGAAAUGCGUUGAUAUCAGAAGGAACGCCGGUGGCGAAAGCGAGCGACUGGAUCUCUUCUGACGCUGAGGCGCGAAAGCCAGGGGAGCAAAGCGGG